CCGCGAACGGACAGCACGGACUUCGGUCUGGUGGCGAGUGGCGAACGGGUGAGUAAUGUAUCGGAACGUGCCUAGUAGCGGGGGAUAACUACGCGAAAGCGUAGCUAAUACCGCAUACGCCCUACGGGGGAAAGCAGGGGAUCGCAAGACCUUGCACUAUUAGAGCGGCCGAUAUCGGAUUAGCUAGUUGGUGGGGUAACGGCUCACCAAGGCGACGAUCCGUAGCUGGUUUGAGAGGACGACCAGCCACACUGGGACUGAGACACGGCCCAGACUCCUACGGGAGGCAGCAGUGGGGAAUUUUGGACAAUGGGGGAAACCCUGAUCCAGCCAUCCCGCGUGUGCGAUGAAGGCCUUCGGGUUGUAAAGCACUUUUGGCAGGAAAGAAACGUCAUGGGUUAAUACCCCGUGAAACUGACGGUACCUGCAGAAUAAGCACCGGCUAACUACGUGCCAGCAGCCGCGGUAAUACGUAGGGUGCAAGCGUUAAUCGGAAUUACUGGGCGUAAAGCGUGCGCAGGCGGUUCGGAAAGAAAGAUGUGAAAUCCCAGAGCCUAACUUUGGAACUGCAUUUUUAACUACCGGGCUAGAGUGUGUCAGAGGGAGGUGGAAUUCCGCGUGUAGCAGUGAAAUGCGUAGAUAUGCGGAGGAACACCGAUGGCGAAGGCAGCCUCCUGG
rnacentral:rRNA from 1 species